UACGUAGGGUGCAAGCGUUGUCCGGAAUUAUUGGGCGUAAAGAGCUCGUAGGCGGUCUGUCGCGUCUGCUGUGAAAACUCAGGGCUUAACCCUGAGCUUGCAGUGGGUACGGGCAGACUAGAGUGCGGUAGGGGAGACUGGAAUUCCUAGUGUAGCGGUGAAAUGCGCAGAUAUCAGGAGGAACACCGGUGGCGAAGGCGGGGUCUCUGGGCCGUAACUGACGCUGGAGGAGCGAAAGCAUGGGGAGCGAACAGG
rnacentral:rRNA from 1 species